rnacentral:rRNA from 1 species
UGGGGGAUAUUGCACAAUGGGGGAAACCCUGAUGCAGCGACGCCGCGUGAGUGAAGAAGUAUUUCGGUACGUAAAGCUCUAUCAGCAGGGAAGAAAAUGACGGUACCUGAUUAAGAAGCCCCGGCUAACUACGUGCCAGCAGCCGCGGUAAUACGUAGGGGGCAAGCGUUAUCCGGAUUUACUGGGUGUAAAGGGAGCGUAGACGGCAGCACAAGUCUGAAGUGAAAUGCCGGGGCUUAACCCCGGAACUGCUUUGGAAACUGUGCAGCUAGAGUGCAGGAGAGGUAAGUGGAAUUCCUAGUGUAGCGGUGAAAUGCGUAGAUAUUAGGAGGAACACCAGUGGCGAAGGCGGCUUACUGGACUGUAACUGACGUUGAGGCUCGAAAGCGUGGGGAGCAAACAGG